GGCGUGCCUCCAACUCCCAUCAGCCAUUGCUCUUCAUGGCUGACCUGGAAAGGCUUUGCUUAAAGCCUUUCAGCACCGGGGCCCUGGACAGCACCAGAGCCGGGCAUGUGGACUGACGCCGCCCCUGCCUGCAUUCUUUUGCUUGACAACUUAAGGAGACUGGGAAGUUUGAGAAACCUCUUUAUAAAACUUUCCUUUCGCGGAGAUUCAGUAUCACCGAAAGGCAGGAGCUAGUGAGAGAGCAGCUGUCUGUUCUGAGCCUGGUCCUUUGACUCCCAGUUUGAAGAGUAAGCUGUCCCCAUAGCCUGCGAGGCAAGGUCUUCUUCACUGAGUCGGGUGGAAUCGGCUUCUGUUGCUUAACACCCAAAGAAGGCACCAAGCAUUGCCCGCCCAAAUUCAUGCUGUUCUUCACAGGGGCUCCAGCAAGGCCUCGUCCCUGGUCCAGCAGUGCGGGACCUUCGAGAUGACCUUGGGAGCCUGCUUCUGCACCACACCAGAACAUGGCAUCUUAAAGCCAUGCUUCAGUUUGGAUCCAGAGCAACAUUACCAGCUCAAUCAGCUGGUUAUUCACUGGGCUUGGCUACAAAUGCCAGAAAGCCUCUUGACUCUUUCCAAAAAUAAAACCCAGCUUCCCAGGAUGAAAAUCUGCCACUAUUGUGCUUAUUCCAAAUAAUGUGGCAUCGAUUGGAAGAAGAUUCUCCAGGGAGCCCCCAAAGUGUCUGCAACAAUGGUCACAGCCUUGGGAUAAAUAUCUGGUGUCUCUGACGACAGCCGGGAAGGAGAGAUGUUCAUUCGGAUGGACGUAUUUUGAUAUAUUUACUGAAGAGCCCAUCUCAUUAUCGAGAAAACACAUUAUGAUAGACUCAUGUUCCAACGCCUAAGAAGUAGAGGGUUUUUUUUAAUGACCCUUUGGAAAACCUUUCAUGUGCAUCCUGAGGCCUUUCCACAUCCCCGUGCCCCUGCCCACAGGAUUUUCCUUUCACAUGGGAAGCAGAUAAAGGUUAACAGGCAGCGGCCAUUAUCUGUUGUUCUUAAGCAGAAUGUAUGCCCCCUGCCCAAGGAUGAGCCGCAAAUCUGAAUUAAGAGAACGUGGACCAUCCGCCAGCAAAUCCUGCUUUAAAGCCCCUUGUGCUAUUGGCAGCAUGCUCCCUUGCCUUUUAAAUGUCUCUUGAACUGGGGAAAGGCAUUAUGCUUCCCAAAAUGAGAGAGAGAGACAGAGAGACAGACACAGACAGACAGACAGACAGACAGAGACACAGAGAGACAGACAGAGGCACAGAGAGAGAGACAGACACAGAAACAGAGAACGAGAGACACAGAGACAGCAACACAGAGACAGGGAGAGAUGCUUUGUGUGUAUGAUCUGUGGCAUGUGUGUGUGCGCGCGCAUGCACACGCGUGUAUUUGAAUGACAUAAACUGAAACAGUCCAGUAAGUGGAGCCCACUAUCCCACCUACACCUAGACAGUCUCCCAGGGGCUCCCACGCACCACCAGACGGAGGGAUUGAUACAUCCUCUGUCAUCUGUUUCCAUGCCGUUGUCAAGUGCGAAAAGUCCUGUGCCGUUCUGAAAAUUGGAGAAUUUCACCUCUGGCUGCGGGCAGAAGAAAGGUGGUCACUCUUGAUGUGCCUUUUGAUAAGGAAACAAAGAAGGAGUGGGGCUCUCACAAUUGACUCCUGUCUCUGGAUGUCUCGCGAUUUCCAUCUGUUCGUGAUCAAAGGCUCACAGCCCAAAACGAGAGGAAGAAGAAUCUCUCUGCGUUUGGCAGGCUCCAAGACAGUCUUGGAUUAUUUAUUUGUUCUGUAACUCAUUUCUGUCAAACAUUCUUUUUCUAUCUCUUGUCAUAAAAAAUUGAAAUGCUAGUUUCUCGGUGGAUGACUUGAUUUUAACUAUCUGCCUGACCUUGGACACAUUAUUUAACCUGUGUUCUUGAAUGUCAGGCCAGUGCCUGACCCAAAGAAGACGCUUCACACGUGUGCUGACAAGACUUCCACCUCCGACUCUGAUUUGCCUGUUUCAACCCAACAGUGGGCUUCCCUCCCAUGGGAUAUCCCGCGAUGCUACCGCUUUUGCCCCUUGGCACAUUUUAUAUUUGCUUGGUACUGACUCUCAGAAGCGUGGGUUUUGUUAUACUUCAGAGCAUGCUCUUUCACUACGGUAGCCUAAGUGGCUCCUCUCUGGAGUAUAGAGACAAUGGCCAUGCCACAGCCCGCCUACUGCUCAAUGCUUUUGAAAUCUGUCGUUUCUUCAUCUACUCCAUGUAUUUGAGGAGCUUUCCAUGGGCAACCAUUUCCCACUUCUUUCAACUCACAGUUGCCUGUGCUAUCUCAUCCUGUAACAAACAGGCGAGAUCAUAAACUUUGUUCAAGUUUUAUGACUUUCUAUUCACUCCUGACCCUCAAUUUUUCCAGUGUCCAAGUUCACAAAGCUGAGGUGUUUCUGGGGUUAAUGUUGCUCCCUGUGGCUUUGAUGUACAAAGUGUGUCCCUUGGAGGCUCACCUCCUAAUCUGAAUUGUCACCUGGGGGCCUGUUAGAGAUUGAUGACAGGGGAUUAUGAGAGUGUCUACGUGUUGUACUUUCAUCCAAUUUUCUGAUGUGUUUUGGUAAUGAUGUUGACAGUUGUGUGAAGAUCUGUUACUGAAAUUAAAGCCGCCACGGCAGCGUUUUUUUGAGCUCGAUGAUUAGAUUUGAUUAGAUCAGAGUGGGUUUUACUUCUUCCCCAGCGUCGGCCGAGAUUUACCGUCCAUCGACUGAUUUAACUUCUCCCUGGAAGAUGGUUAGUGACAUAACUUACCAUCAGCAAAAGAAAUGUCAAGGAGCAUUGGAUUGAGACCCAACCCUGUUUAGCUUGUAUGUUGACCUUGAAAGGUCUGGAAAGACAUACACUAUCAAAGAUGUCUGCUCACAAAGCCUAGUAGGCACAGUGACGGUUGACACUUUGGGGUGGGCACUUGUAUGGCUGAGAAUCUUCCAACUGGGACUAACAUCUGAGUGAGUCAGAGCUUUCAUGAAAUCAGAUAGGGGAAAGAGGGAAAAAAACAGGAGUAUAGUUUCUGAGUUCUUCUUGCUGCCGCCAAAGGGUGAAGGUAGCCAUUUCCAAACCUGAAUCUGGAUGACCACGUCACAGUGAGAUUCGGAAGAAGGUGGCUCACGUGUAGGGCUUUCCUGGGACAUGGUAUGUGCAAUCGACUUUCAGUAUGAAUUCUUAAAAUACUUGCAACCGAUAAGUCACAAGUUAAGAUAGGCAGAUGGCCAAUUGAUGGGGGAAACAUACAACUUCAACUAAGAAUCUUUAAAAUGUGGCAUAAAAUCAGACUUUAAUUUUCACUCAUAAAACAGUUGAAAACGUAGUCAGCAUUGAUAAAGAUGCAGUGAUCUACCAGAGGGACAUAAAAAAAUAUGGAAACAAAAAUGUAAAAAAAUAAAAGCAUGGGGCUGAAAUGUGUAUAGACCUCUUGACUCUUUAGUUCUACUAUAACUGUCUCAGAAAAAUAGAAAUACAUGAUCAAAAUUUUCUGUGGAGGGCUAUUUGUUUCACCAUUUUGUAAUGGAAAAAAAAAACUAGGAGCAACUUUAAUAGCCAUUAAUAACAAACCGUUUCUGUGAAUUACAGAAGAAGACCAGUGGGAUGAAAUACCAUGUAGUUGCUAAAAUUCUCUUCAAGGAAUAUUUAAGGGCAUGAAAAAAAAAAUUCAUGGUAUCAUAACCAAGGGAAAGAAGUAUAACACAAAAUUUCACUAUCAUGGCUUCCAAUACUGUAAAACAUUUAAAUGUGCACAGAAAGGACUAGAAGGAAAUAUAUCAAAAUAUUACAAAGUUUUCCAGGUGGUUGAUUUAGAGGUAAUUUUUAUUUAUGCUUCUCUGGAUUUUUCCCCCUUUUCUUUUUAAAUUUGCGAGGCGUGUGAAUUAGUCAGACUUUCCUUGUUGUGAUAGACACCUGAGAGAAGCUAUUUAAAAGGAAGGCAGACUUAUUGUAGUUGAUGGCUUCAGAGGUUCCAGCCCAUGGUUGGCUGGUUCCAUUGCUUUGGGCCAAGGAGGGGAGACGUAAUGGAGGAGAAAGACUGACAGACCCAAACUCCUGAACACCCAGGAAAUGAAGAAGAACAACAGGAAGGGCCAGGGGCCUUCAAAGGCAUAUCCUAGCAGCACACUACCUCCACACAGGCCCACCCUUCACAUUUCCAACACUUUCCAAUGGGCUUCCCGAGUUUUAGAUCCAUCAAUGAGUUAAACCAUUGAUGACACUAAGACCCUUAUGAUCGACCCAACUUCAGAAACAGGUUUGGAGACACACCCAGAAAUUAACAAUCAAGAAUAAGCAUCACAGUACAUUCUUCAAUAAUCAAGAGGAACUUUCAGGGAUCACAGUUGCAACAACCAAAGGUUCACCCAAAACUGUUACGCCUCCGAGUCUGAGAUCCCUGGGAGCAGGAAGAACAGCGGUGUUUCCCUUUGUCUAAUUUGGGGAUUUUUCGCAGAAACUCCCUUGGCUGUGGGCACUGUGUUUUCUCGGCUGCUUGGUGGUUUUCUGCACCUUGUCAGGAGUCAGAGGGAAGCUGUGGUGCUUUCUGAUCUCACAGGAUGGAUUUAUAAAUGUGUUCCUUGGUAAUGGUCCUGACUGGGGUAUCUGAAAUGCUCUUUCCAGAGCUCAGCUAUACACUCAUUCUUACUUAACAGCACUUUGUCCAAGAGUAGCAGGGAGUUGCUGACUCUGCCAUCUACAGAUGGUACUUAAAUCUGUGUGCCCUGAAUCACUGAGGGUCUACUAGAUAGUUUAAGUCUUGGUGUGUGUGUGGGGGGGGGGGGGGAUGUCUCUUCUUUGUGUCUCAUCUUUGUUCUACUAUAGAUGCCUCAAUUUUUUCCCUUCUAAAUAAAUGUUCUGUGAUGGGAAUUUAAAACCUUCUUCCUCCCAGCUGUACCAUGAGGAAGGUGUGAUAUGGUCUGAGCUGUCAUCACAGCCAGCCUGGUUUUCUUUAGUGACAGUAGCAGUGGUUCCCCACCCCCACCCCUUAUCCCACUGUUAUUCCUCAGAUGCCCAUGACUGUGAUACUUGAUGGAGGAAAUCCCAAGACUUCCUCACAGUACCACAGGGGCUCAAAGGCAAAUGGUGCUCGCAGUCUCUGAUAUAAAGGAGAUGCAAGAGCCAAACCUCUAUACCAAACGGACACAAAGGUCAGUUUGUUACUAGAAACAGCUUCCCAGAAUUUACCUUACAUGAGGGUGUGAUGGCAACCAGAGGCCACUGAGCCCCAGGGCUGGGUACCCACCCUGUGUCAAGCGUUUUGCACCAACAUUCUCACGUGACCCCCCCCCCCCACCGCAACCGUCUCCCAAGAUCUGUACUAUAUUAGUCCUACUGUUUCACAGACAGGAAAAUAGGCUUCAGAAACUUGUUAUGUCACUUGAAGCUGCAAAGUUAGAACCCAGACCAUUGGGUCAGUGUAUCCCAAGUUUUGUUAAAAGGAGAGGUCUUUGCUAAGCCAUGGCCCCCAAGCCUUGGAGCCUCUCUACCAAGGGAGUCGGGGAGGGGGGUGGCACUAGUAAUUUCCCACGGAUCCCUGGCGGUUCUUAUCGUUGGGUAAGCUUGUGGGAGAGAGCGGUGGGUGUUAGCGCAGUAAUGGUUCUCAGCCCCAACUGCAAGUUAGAAUUGUCAGGGGAGCAUUUAAUAGAAACGAGCGCCCAGCUCCACCCUGACACAUUCCGAUUUAAUCGCACUGGAGUGGGACCCAGGCUGCAGUAUCUUCAAGCUCGCCAGGUGAUUCGCAAGUGCAGCCAUGGUAGGGAACCACCGCUCUGUUGCUUCGGCUGAUUAAAAUUAAAUCAGCCUGACUUACUCUACAAAAACACCGGCAAAGGAAGAAUCACUCCGUGCUGGCCAGCUGUCUCCCACUUCCAGCCCUGCCAUUGAAAGGGGGGUGGGGGGUGGGGUGGGGCGUGGAGAGACUGAGGGAAGAAAAGCCAAGCAGCCAGCUGGGUGUGACAGCAAUCCUAGCUAGAUCCCCAAUCCUGACUGAGCACUGGAGGACGCCGGAGGGCAGUUAAGGUGUGCAGGGACGAUAGAGCUGGAAGAAGAAGAGCUUCUCUUGUCUCUGACCACAAUGUUCUCACACCGCAGGGUGUAUCCGAGAGCUUGUUAAAACCCAUGAUGACAAGACUCCAUUCCUGCCUGCUCUGAUACCCUAGGACCAGGAUCCUGGCACUGAUGCUGCCUGGUGGGGCACCUUUUGUUAUGUUGAUGUUAGCACUGUGCAGAAUUCAGCCACACCAAUUGCAGAAAACCCGAGCUAAAGCCCACACCCACGAGCUUCCUUCCAACCACAGUGCCAAACCCCAGUGACCAUUCAGGGGAUCAUUCUGCAGAGCAAAUCUGCCUGCGCCCAGCAGUGCUCUGAUGACUGUUGAAAGACGAUAGACAACCAGACCAGAUCCUCGCCCUGAGGAGCUCCGGGAGAAGCCACCAGCACUGGGAAAGUGGUUUUAGAACCUGGUGAUGUGAAGACAGGGAGCCAAGGCAAGUAACAAGAGAUGGAAGCUUUAGGUUGCCGGGGGCAGAAAGGCCUCUCUAAACGGAGGAUGUUGGAGCUAAAACGUGAACGAUAGAAUGAGCUAGGAACUGAAGGACCUAAAAGAGAGUGCCCCCCCCACACACACACACACAAGGCAACUGGGUCCUUAAACAUAACGAGGGCAUCAAGGAUGACCAAGGAUGAUAGGGCAGAGUGAACGGCUUGUGCGAUAAUUCCUGGGGCAAGAGUGAGCUUGGCACAUGGCAAGAACAGGAAGCAAGCAGUGCUUGAUGUGUGCACUACAGUCACAUGUUUUCGAGCUCUACCGAGCUCUUCACAUCCAUUAUCUCAUUACAGCCCAUGAUGUAAGAGGGUACCCAUCCUCGCAGAGUUAAGCCUGACGAUGAGUUAGUUCCCUUCAUCCAGUCAAACUUCCUAUCGAGUGGCAUACUUCUUAAGGGGUAUCAUUGCUUCUAGCAGUUUGAUGGCCCCUGAUAGAAGAUGCUUGCUUUUGUAUAGAGGGGGUGGGGAAGCCCAGAACCGAAGGGACAGAGCUGAUAUUGAUAAUGAUGGAGCUUGCAUCAAUGGUUUAUCUAGCCUUCUUGUGCACACAAUUCUUAGGCACUUGAUUUAAAGGUAUAUCCUCACUCUAGGGUCUGUGGGCAGGGCCUGAAAUUCUGAAUUUUUGGCAAACUCCAGCUUGGUCCAUGGCUCACAUUUUGAGUAAAAGAUCUCAGGUCACCAUGGGUGCGGACCUUUGCUGUUUGGUCAGAACGAGGCCAAGGGUGUAGAUUAUUCAUAUUCUGGCUGCUUGGCCAGCUAGACUAUGUCCUUGGGAUUAGCAUCUCCCAACCCUAGCUAAGGAUGCAAUAUCAGAGGUUAGAGUCUUGUCAGACACUGAUAAAAUGCCCCUAGGGGAGGCAGCAGGAACUAGCCCUCCCCCCACCCCCACUCCGGCACAUUGCAAAGGCUAGAGGAGCCCAGGCUGGUGUAAAAUCUUCCUUUGUCUUAGGCAGCCUGGGUCAGGCCAUACAUACUGAUGAUAGCAGCGUAUUGGUUCUCUGCCACUCUGAUUUACGCUCGGGAGGCGCUCAUCAAUUCCAAUAGGGAACUUGUUGAGUUAUUUUAGGUUUCAGUUUUGAUAGCGAAAACCAACUCCAUGAAACCAGCGUUUCUCUUCUCGCCUAUGUUUCUAGGAUGACAUCGCUACCUUCCAGUUCCUAACCAACCAGAGAUCUCGUUCCUCCCAGGGUCUCAGAGCUGCUGUUCCAUCUCCAGUGUGGGUACUGCAGACUCAAGGUCCUAUUGGGACCCAGGAGGGCUGCCAUUGUGAAAAUCCCAAACAGGUGGAGGACAGCAAAGAUUUUUUUUUCAAUAGUAGAGAGAUCAAUCGCAUUAGUCAUUGUUAACUAGAAAAGGGAAAAUACUAAUACCCUUGAUUGGGGGGGGGGCAGUUCAUGGUGUCCCAUCCCAGUAUCAAAAGGCACCCACUGAGAUGCAGUCAUGCCCCACCACCUCCUCUCAAGCUUAUGGCCAGACAGUAAACCUAGAGCCCUGUGGUUCCCCGCUCAGCCCUAGUAUCCCAAACACACACAGUUCAGCACCUGUCAUGAUAAGCAGCUUGCCAAAGGACUUAGACCUGUCACGGAAGAUGCCUGAGCGGAGGUCCUUUAUCAAUUACCUUGGGCCCUCUUAGCUGUCAGGGGCCCACCUGGUCCAGCUGUUCAAACCAUACCCAUAUAUUCCAGGCGAGCCCAAUACUAAUUUGCCACUAGACAGCAGGUGAAUACCAAGUACUCAGAAGCGCUUGGCAAACACUCCUGCUUUUCCUAUGACAUCCUGAAGGUCCAGCAGAGAUUCCCAGGUGCUGGGAGAGCAUGCAGCUUACACUUGCUGUUAAGACGAUGCCUAGGCCUAAAUUAACAAAGAUGACUGCGCCAAGCUAUGUGGGUCUGCGUCACAUUCAGCUCAGCAAACACUUAUUGAGCUGUAGGAAGGAACUUUGCCAGCCACUCAAGGAGAAACAAAGAUGGAUACGGUGUAGUCCUGAAUUCAAGAGGAUGGGAAUCUGUUAUAGCCGAGCCCACAGACAUAUCCAUAGACAUCUCGUACAAAGAAUAGAAUGUGAUAAACUCCCCCAUUACAGGCACAAUGUGGAACUGUGGCAGGGAGCUGGAUAAGAGAGAAAAUUGGAUCCAACCGAGAUGUCUGCAAUGGUCUUCUGGUUUGCCCAUAGAACAAACAGAAUUUGAACCUAGCAGUGAGCAUGCUUACUGAAACUAACUAUCAGCAUUGAGACUUAAGCCCUCUUGUGUCUCCCGCACUAUCUUCAGCCCCCUACAGGGGCUAGCUCAUUUGAACAUCUGUUCACCCCAUGAUGUGGGUACUUAGGUUAUCUGUGUGGUACAGGUGAGCCCAGGGAGGCUCGGUAAGGCCAGUGAAGCUGUCCCAGAGACCAGGUGGGCCCCUGACAGCUAAGAGGGCCAAAGGUAAUUUAUAAAGGGCCUCAGCUCAGGCGUCUUCCAUGACAGGUCUAAGUCCUUUGGCAAGCUGCUUAUCAUGACAGGUGCUGAGCUGUGUAUGUUUGGGAUUCUAUGUGGGAAGCUGGGCUCUGAACUCAGGUGUCCUAGAGCCGGUGCCCGGACUGCUAACUAUGAAACCCUUUCGCCUCUCUGUACAGACAUUUGGUUUUCUUUUUUAUCACCCGCAUGUUUAAGUCACUAAUCAGCUCCGUAGAGCUUUGUUAGAAGCCGAGCGAGCACUGAGGACCUUCUGAAGAUGUUUGUUUAUUCCUCUCCGAGGGCUUUUGAGCCACCUAAUCAGUGGUACCCUGGAUGAGUGCAAGCAGCAGCAACCUGCCUGCCUCUUGGAGCUUGGGAGAGCCCAGCCAGGCUCUUCAGGCUGCCGUUCAACUCUCCGUAAAGUCUUCAGGGUUCUCAGAGUCCAUCUGAGCCCGUCUCUCCCUCUGGAUCUUUGGACUGCUGCCUCAACUCCCUUUUAGGGGUCUUUGAUGUAAAUUGUAAAGGGGCCCGACAUACCAUGGACAGCGUUCCUUUUUCUCUCCUGGCUUUAUAGCUUGAGACUACACAGUCUCAAGAGGCAGCAAACUGGUCUGUUGCCUGCCAGCCUUGGAGCAAGCUUUGCCAGGUGUUUCUCAGUCUAGGUGGGACAGUGUGAUAUUUAGACAAGGCCUCUGUGAGUAGGAGCUGCAAAUCCAGCCAUGACCCUGCUCCGGGAGGCUCUGCAGGCCUGGAGGAAGGGUCUAUCAAGACCUAUGCCAAAGAUAUAUGGCUAACGGAGUUGACGGCAACGGCGCUAAGGAAAAAACACUUUUGUGGGACUGGGGUUUGAUCCUGACCUGGGCGAAAGUACUAGGUUUUAUUUUUCUUCCUCCUUUUGGAUGCCGAACAGGAAUCUUUCAGCUACUCCUUGCCCCACUUCCCACCUCCUUGAAAACAGAAGAAGGAGGGAUCUCCCAGCUUCCCGCCCCUCCCUGCCCCCCAUCUCCUGCAUGGACGUUUCAACAUCUGGGCACACCAGAUCCAGAGGUCCCAAGCCUUCCAAACCCUGCAGUCAGCAGGCCUAUGGGGACAGGCGCCGGCCUCCCCCUCCCCCACUUAGUGACUAGCGCGGGAUGGCGAGGCGGGUCCAUCAGCCAGGCCAGGUUCUUCUCUGCCCUGGGAUUGGUCCAGGCGCGUUUUGUGUUAAAUGCCGACAUAUAAAUUUGUAGACGAUCCUUGUGAGCAAAUUGGAUUCCUUCACAGGGCUCUUAAGUGCUGCCAUUUAGCCAGAUUUAACGGUAGACUCUGGCCACAGCCACCCCCACCGCCACCCCCCACCCUACCCCGGGCUGACCCUCCACAGUCACCGGGAAUCGAUCCCAGGCUGCCUGCCGCCCAGACAGCCAGGGGCUCAGCACACAAAGCCUGGCUAGGCCCAGCGCUUCCAGCGCCUCAUCUUGGCUUCCUCCCCACUGUCUCCACCUUCUCUCCCUCGCUUCUCUCCCGGCCUCCCGCUCCCUUUCUCCCCAACGACUCCCGACUCCCGCCCCGCCGCCUUCCCCUCUUCCCCUCCAGCCUCUCCCUCCUCCUGUCUGAGCCGUGGCAGCUGCUUCCAAUGCAGCGAGAUGCACCAAUUCAUUCAGCCUCGCAGACUCUUUAAGGUCGUUACUAAAUAUAUCAAGCAGAAGAAAAGGGUCUUUUUUCCUAUCUCUGAGCAGGGAGUGUAAAUGCCGGCCUUAGGAUCGCAGCUCCUGCUCCCUGAUCCCGUAAGGGAGGCAGCCCUGAGCAGCCUGGCUCCUGAGUCCUGCUGUUAGCUCACGGGCAGGAGUGACCCCAGACCAAGGGAAGGGAUGCAGCCCGGUGGGAUAAGAGAUGCCACCGGACUCCAAAGAAUUAGAAAUGACAUGCACUUUUUAUCUUCAAGGAGUUAAGCUGCUCUGGCGACCCCAAGAAGAAUACAAUUUAAACAAUUUCUUCCAGAGUGAUCUCUCCCCCUCUGGAUGAAUUUUUUUUUUCCUUUAUUUUUUUGAGGAAAUUGGAAAGUGUUGAAAGAAGUCGAGGUGCCAGCCCUGUAGUCAGAAUUCUAUUCAGGUGCUCCAAGCAACGUUGUCUGGUGUUUUUCUGAGUUGUAGGCAGGUGACCUUGCAGCCAGGAGCACUAACCAGAGGUGCUGAGCACCAGAAGAGUCAGAGCCGUGUUGUGAUCAGAAAUGUACAACAGAGUUCGUCUCCUGUUCCACAGCAGGGGGUGCCUGGCGGGGACUGCUGGCAGGUCCUGCUUUAUGCUUCAUUCCUCCAUGCUACACACUGACACAGGCUUCCUGGGUGUCUCCGGGACUUCUCCCCUUCCUGGUGUGUAGGCAGAGCUGGCUGAGCGAGACUUAACGAAACACCUCCUCCAUGCAAAAAUAUCUUCUGCAUGUAGUACACGGUGCCAUGGCUUAGAAGUUCCUCAAAGGGAGAUUUAAAACAGAAGCAAUAAUUUGUAUUACAUCUUUUUUUUUUUUUUUAAGGCAGGGUUUCUCUGAGGCGAGAUAGUUCUCCUGGAACUCACUCUGUAGACCAGGCCGGCCUCAAACUCAGAGACCCUAUACCUCUGCCUCUCAAGUGCUGGGACUAAAGGUGUGUGCCUCUACUGACCAGCCUGAUCUUAAAAGCAGAAAAUAUGAGGUCACUAGAGAAUGUCCAGGGCAGUCACUUGUAACCUUUGGUGGGGGUGGGGUGGGGGUGGGGGUGGCAACCCUUUUUUAAUUUUUUUUUUUAAUUGCUGGGUGAGUAGAGUCCGGGAACAACUUUGGAAUGAUGGUGAACUCCAUCGUUAUGUGGUUCCUGAGAAUUGAGCUCAGUCAGGUCUUCAGACAGGCUUAACUAGCUGAGCCAGCCUGAGAAUGGCUUUUAUGGGACGGUGAUAAGGUUGUCUCUCCAGGCAAUUAGCACAUUGUCAUUUUGGAAGUAGGUUAGGAGGAAGUUCAUGAAACCCCUAAGCCCUAUCCAUAGGUGUGCUGACUUCUGGAUGAGAACCCUGAAACCAAGGAAGACUUCAGACAACAGUAUCUCAGUAACUUCCCAAAGGAAAACUCGGUGGUGGUGCUUAGAAAAUAUACAGCCAUGGCACUCUGAACACCCCCAGUAUCACCCGACCUCAGAAGGAACGGAACCUUCUAGAAAAGUCACUGAUGUAGUAGACCAAAAGGAAGACGGUGGCCUGUGGGGGCACCAAAGACCAGCUCUUCAUGCAGGAGAAAGCCCGGCAGCUCCUGAGCCGCCUGAAGUCCAGCCACACAUCUCGGACCCUCAUUCUGUCCUGAGGGACUUGAAUGGCAAGAGCCGGCUCUCAUGUUUACAGGGGUAGGGUGUGGGGUAAGGUUAAAGUCACAUUAAGUGACCAGCUUCAGGAUGUCUUCUGCCAGCCCCUCAAACUACUUAGGUGGCAGAAGUCACGUGGUAAUACCCCUUCCCUGAGUCUAGCUUUGGGAAGUUCCUGGUGCUAAUAGAACAAGGUCCCACUCCUGGGCCUGCCUGUCCUCUACCCAAUGCUAGAAGGAACCCUAUCAGGGUCUCCCAGGCUCUCAUCCAGUCUGGCCUCAUCUCAGACUCCUGCUUAGGAUGGGGGUGUGGCUAGGGGUGCGCCUUUCCUCGUCUCCUGUUGGUACACUGUCCCCACAAUAAAAUGCCAUUCUCCCUCUGCC